UACGGGGGGCGCAAGCGUUGUUCGGAUUUACUGGGCGUAAAGGGCGCGUAGGCGGUAGCACAAGUCAGUUGUGAAAUCUCCGGGCUUAACUCGGAAAGGUCAACUGAUACUGUGCGACUAGAGUGCAGAAGGGGCAACUGGAAUUCUCGGUGUAGCGGUGAAAUGCGUAGAUAUCGAGAGGAACACCUGCGGCGAAGGCGGGUUGCUGGGCUGACACUGACGCUGAGGCGCGAAAGCCAGGGGAGCGAACGGG
rnacentral:rRNA from 1 species